rnacentral:rRNA from 1 species
CAGCCGCCGCGGGAAAACGUAGGUGGCAAGCGUUGUCCGGAAUUAUUGGGCGUAAAGGGCUCGCAGGCGGUUUCUUAAGUCUGAUGUGAAAGCCCCCGGCUCAACCGGGGAGGGUCAUUGGAAACUGGGAAACUUGAGUGCAGAAGAGGAGAGUGGAAUUCCACGUGUAGCGGUGAAAUGCGUAGAGAUGUGGAGGAACACCAGUGGCGAAGGCGACUCUCUGGUCUGUAACUGACGCUGAGGAGCGAAAGCGUGGGGAGCGAACAGGAUUAGAUACCCGCGUAGUCCCUGUCUCUUAUAC